CAAAAACUGUUUUUCCUAUUUGAGUUAGGCUGCACUUCAAUUACACAUGAGAACAGCAGGAUCAGAUUUCUCAAUUAUUCAUCAAGAUCUCUCUAAUUGCAGGAGAUAUUUUAGUUAAGGAAGAAAAGGAGGCAGAAAAAAUGAAGUUCCAGAUAAAAGCCAAAACAAAACAAAGGAACAUUUCAGAGAACAUGUACCAUCUACAGACCAGAUUCACACUUCUCUGAUCACCACUCACUCCUCUUGACAAAUAAAAGGUUUUGGCACGUCAACAAAACCAUCAAAAGGAAGCAACUCAGGAUAUGGUAGACCUUCUGGGCUGCAAGUGCACAUUGCUUGCUCAUGUUGAGGUUUUCAUCAACGAACACCCCCAAAUCCUUCUCCUUAGGGCUGCUCUCAAGCCAUUCUCUGCCCAGCCUGUAUUUUUCUUGGCUGUGAAAUUUUGUGAGCAAAGUUGUCUCAAAGCUUCUCAGCAGGUAAAUGACAACUCAAUCUAGUCACCCCAGCAAUAAUAAGAAAAGAAGAGCUCUUCACCACACAGCCUCAUCAUCCUGGCUGCUGGAGCAGCCCAAAGCUCAUGCUGUGGCUGCCGAGCUGUUAUGCAGCACACUCAGCUCCAUUGUGUAUCCUCCUGCCAAGAGUCAGGAGUGUAAAAAGGGUACGUUAAUGCAGAUUUGAAGGCUUGGUUGGCCCUGUUCCUUCUUUCUCCUUGGAAAACCCCCAUUGCAUUCAAUCUUUGCAAUUUAGAACAAAGUUAAAUAAAGCUGAUCUUUUCAUACUAUAAAAUAUUAAGAACAGCUGCA
ensembl:lncRNA